rnacentral:rRNA from 1 species
AUUGAACGCUGGCGGCAUGCCUUACACAUGCAAGUCGAACGGUAACAGGUCUUCGGAUGCUGACGAGUGGCGAACGGGUGAGUAAUACAUCGGAACGUGCCCAGUAGUGGGGGAUAACUACUCGAAAGAGUGGCUAAUACCGCAUGAGAUCUACGGAUGAAAGCAGGGGAUCGCAAGACCUUGUGCUACUAGAGCGGCCGAUGGCAGAUUAGGUAGUUGGUGGGAUAAAAGCUUACCAAGCCGACGAUCUGUAGCUGGUCUGAGAGGACGAUCGGCCACACUGGGACUGAGACACGGCCCAGACUCCUACGGGAGGCAGCAGUGGGGAAUUUUGGACAAUGGGCGCAAGCCUGAUCCAGCAAUGCCGCGUGCAGGAUGAAGGCCUUCGGGUUGUAAACUGCUUUUGUACGGAACGAAAAGCCCUGGGUUAAUACCCUGGGGUCAUGACGGUACCGUAAGAAUAAGCACCGGCUAACUACGUGCCAGCCGCCGCCGUAAUAC